rnacentral:lncRNA from 10 species
UCAUUGUCAAGCGGAGCUAGAUAACAGAAACAAGUUCAGAUUCUGGAAUGAUUAUCCUUAGAGAUGAUGUAUUAAAUAUACAGAAUACAACUUGAUUUUCAUAAGCCACGUUGACUUUGCAGAACUAAGGCUGCAGGGGAAAAUUAUUUCAUAAGAGGAGGGGUGAGAGCUCGCAAAAUCUAACCAGGUGGGAACGAUGGGAGAGGGAAGGAAGUAGAGCAUUUUCACAUGUAAAGAUGUGUCUGCUUUCUCCAGUUUUCUCUCUAUUAUUUACCUAAUGUCAUUUAAGCAUUUGGUGCCUCUGUCUUCUAUUAACAAUAUGGGAAGCAUCUUUAGAAAAGAAGAGCUUCUCCUUCUUCCUAGAUUAACUACCGCUUUUCUUUCAUCCUCUUCUCUGAAUAUUGUGGUAUCAUGUAAAAUAUUUCUUCUACCUCUUCGUAACUUAACCUCUCCCCCUGCAAUGAGCUUGGUUUGAGUUGUACUUUUGGAGUUCCAUAUCUCAUACCCAGUAGGCUUUCUAAUGCCUCACCAGAGCCGCACAAUCCACGGGAGUGAAAUCUGGAGAAAAAUCACAGUGGAGUGAGAAAGAGUCACAGAAAUACCCUGAGAUCAGAAGUGUCUUUGUGGUAACUCAGGGAACAGGUUUCUUGCCACUGAAUGGUGCUGAAGCUGAUUUCCUUCUGAAUGAAGACUUCAGACCACCAAGCCAACUUAAAAAUGUAUUUUGCUGAAAAAGAGAGGUUUCUUCUGUGUAAAAUGUAUUUUACUUCCUAUUCAACUGCUUAGUUCCUAUUGGAGCUCUGUAUUAGUCUGUUCUCACGCUGCUAAUAAAGACAUACCCGAGACUGGGUAAGUAAUAAAGAAAAAGAGGUUUAAUGAUCUCACAG